UGAAUUUUUGAUGAGCAAAGAUGCGAGAGAUAGAGAGCAAUCUCUGUAAGUAUCAAAUAAUCGAUACAGUACGAGAUGAUUAAAGAAAAUCACAAAAUUAGGAGCGCAGGGAUGCAUACUUGCACAAUAAUCAGGAUUAUAUUUUUUUCACGUACUGGUCGUAUAUAUCAAGAAUAAGACUUACGUUUUAUAAUACGCUUCAACAAAUGCUCAUUACGAGCUUCGACAUUUGAUACUUAUUCGCAUGCGAUAUUCAUUUUCGAUUUGCAAAACAGAAAUGAGGUACAGAGUGAUGUUACAUCAAAUAAUCGAAAUAAUCGCAGAUAAUAUAUGAUAGUCACGAAAUUAGACGCAUAGUGACGAAUUGACUUCGAAACAUCGUUAUUCUUAUAUUAUCAUAUUAUUGUUGAGUUGCGAUCGAGUAUUGGGAGUGUCGAAAAUAACAACGUGCUGUAUAAUUACGAGUUGUUACGCGGUUUUCAUGUCGUCAGAAUUUUGCAAAACGUUUCUCCAAUGGAUUCGUAUUCAUCUUUAGCAUUACAUUCUGCACGAUACAUGAUUUUUUACAAAUAUGGACAAUCAGGUUUUUCUUCGCGUUCCGUCAAAUAGUGAUGAUGAGUCUUGUAUUGCUUUCUUUGCGUUCCAUCAAG